GGGUUGUGAGGUUAAGCGACUAAGCGUACACGGUGGAUGCCCUGGCAGUCAGAGGCGAUGAAGGGCGUGCUAAUCUGCGAUAAGCGCCGGUAAGGUGAUAUGAACCGUUAUAACCGGCGAUACCCGAAUGGGGAAACCCAGUGUGAUUCGUCACACUAUCAUUAACUGAAUCCAUAGGUUAAUGAGGCGAACCGGGGGAACUGAAACAUCUAAGUACCCCGAGGAAAAGAAAUCAACCGAGAUUCCCCCAGUAGCGGCGAGCGAACGGGGAGGAGCCCAGAGCCUGAAUCAGCAUGUGUGUUAGUGGAAGCGUCUGGAAAGGCGCGCGAUACAGGGUGACAGCCCCGUACACAAAAGCGCAUGUGCUGUGAGCUCGAUGAGUAGGGCGGGACACGUGGUAUCCUGUCUGAAUAUGGGGGGACCAUCCUCCAAGGCUAAAUACUCCUGACUGACCGAUAGUGAACCAGUACCGUGAGGGAAAGGCGAAAAGAACCCCGGCGAGGGGAGUGAAAAAGAACCUGAAACCGUGUACGUACAAGCAGUGGGAGCACCCUUUGGGUGUGACUGCGUACCUUUUGUAUAAUGGGUCAGCGACUUAUAUUCUGUAGCAAGGUUAACCGAAUAGGGGAGCCGGAGGGAAACCGAGUCUUAAUUGGGCGUUAAGUUGCAGGGUAUAGACCCGAAACCCGGUGAUCUAGCCAUGGGCAGGUUGAAGGUUGGGUAACACUAACUGGAGGACCGAACCGACUAAUGUUGAAAAAUUAGCGGAUGACCUGUGGCUGGGGGUGAAAGGCCAAUCAAACCGGGAGAUAGCUGGUUCUCCCCGAAAGCUAUUUAGGUAGCGCCUCGUGAAUUCAUCUCCGGGGGUAGAGCACUGUUUCGGCUAGGGGGCCAUCCCGGCUUACCAACCCGAUGCAAACUGCGAAUACCGGAGAAUGUUAUCACGGGAGACACACGGCGGGUGCUAACGUCCGUCGUGAAGAGGGAAACAACCCAGACCGCCAGCUAAGGUCCCAAAGUCAUGGUUAAGUGGGAAACGAUGUGGGAAGGCCCAGACAGCCAGGAUGUUGGCUUAGAAGCAGCCAUCAUUUAAAGAAAGCGUAAUAGCUCACUGGUCGAGUCGGCCUGCGCGGAAGAUGUAACGGGGCUAAACCAUGCACCGAAGCUGCGGCAGCGACACUGUGUGUUGUUGGGUAGGGGAGCGUUCUGUAAGCCUGUGAAGGUGUGUCGUGAGGCAUGCUGGAGGUAUCAGAAGUGCGAAUGCUGACAUAAGUAACGAUAAAGCGGGUGAAAAGCCCGCUCGCCGGAAGACCAAGGGUUCCUGUCCAACGUUAAUCGGGGCAGGGUGAGUCGACCCCUAAGGCGAGGCCGAAAGGCGUAGUCGAUGGGAAACGGGUUAAUAUUCCCGUACUUGGUGUUACUGCGAAGGGGGGACGGAGAAGGCUAUGUUGGCCGGGCGACGGUUGUCCCGGUUUAAGCGUGUAGGUGUGUGUUCCAGGUAAAUCCGGUUCACUUUAACACUGAGGCGUGACGACGAGGCACUACGGUGCUGAAGCAACAAAUGCCCUGCUUCCAGGAAAAGCCUCUAAGCAUCAGGUAACAUCAAAUCGUACCCCAAACCGACACAGGUGGUCAGGUAGAGAAUACCAAGGCGCUUGAGAGAACUCGGGUGAAGGAACUAGGCAAAAUGGUGCCGUAACUUCGGGAGAAGGCACGCUGACACGUAGGUGAAGUGAUUUACUCAUGGAGCUGAAGUCAGUCGAAGAUACCAGCUGGCUGCAACUGUUUAUUAAAAACACAGCACUGUGCAAACACGAAAGUGGACGUAUACGGUGUGACGCCUGCCCGGUGCCGGAAGGUUAAUUGAUGGGGUCAGCGCAAGCGAAGCUCCUGAUCGAAGCCCCGGUAAACGGCGGCCGUAACUAUAACGGUCCUAAGGUAGCGAAAUUCCUUGUCGGGUAAGUUCCGACCUGCACGAAUGGCGUAAUGAUGGCCAGGCUGUCUCCACCCGAGACUCAGUGAAAUUGAACUCGCUGUGAAGAUGCAGUGUACCCGCGGCAAGACGGAAAGACCCCGUGAACCUUUACUAUAGCUUGACACUGAACAUUGAGCCUUGAUGUGUAGGAUAGGUGGGAGGCUUUGAAGUGUGGACGCCAGUCUGCAUGGAGCCGACCUUGAAAUACCACCCUUUAAUGUUUGAUGUUCUAACGUGGACCCGUUACCCGGGUUGCGGACAGUGUCUGGUGGGUAGUUUGACUGGGGCGGUCUCCUCCUAAAGAGUAACGGAGGAGCACGAAGGUUGGCUAAUCCUGGUCGGACAUCAGGAGGUUAGUGCAAUGGCAUAAGCCAGCUUGACUGCGAGCGUGACGGCGCGAGCAGGUGCGAAAGCAGGUCAUAGUGAUCCGGUGGUUCUGAAUGGAAGGGCCAUCGCUCAACGGAUAAAAGGUACUCCGGGGAUAACAGGCUGAUACCGCCCAAGAGUUCAUAUCGACGGCGGUGUUUGGCACCUCGAUGUCGGCUCAUCACAUCCUGGGGCUGAAGUAGGUCCCAAGGGUAUGGCUGUUCGCCAUUUAAAGUGGUACGCGAGCUGGGUUUAGAACGUCGUGAGACAGUUCGGUCCCUAUCUGCCGUGGGCGCUGGAGAACUGAGGGGGGCUGCUCCUAGUACGAGAGGACCGGAGUGGACGCAUCACUGGUGUUCGGGUUGUCAUGCCAAUGGCACUGCCCGGUAGCUAAAUGCGGAAGAGAUAAGUGCUGAAAGCAUCUAAGCACGAAACUUGCCCCGAGAUGAGUUCUCCCUGAGACUUAAAGUCUCCUGAAGGAACGUUGAAGACGA
rnacentral:rRNA from 1 species